GGGGAAAAAUUAAUAAUAAAAUAAAUAAUAAAAGAAUUUUUAAAAGAAAAAUUAAUUAUUUUAAUGGGGGUUAAAGUAUAUUAAUAGAAAUAAUUUAAAAAUUUAUAGUUGAUUAUGUAUUGUAAAAGAAUUUUGAAAUAAAUGAAAAUGAAAUUAUUUUAAAGUAAUUUUUAUUUAAUGUAUCUUGUGUAUCAGAGUUUGUUAAAAAAUAUUUUUAGGGGAAAAAAUUCUCGAAUUUAAGAGAGAUAAUUAAUUAUAAAAGUUAUUGUAACAUAAAUAUUUUAAAUAAUUAAUUGGAAAUGAAAUGUUAAAUCGUUCUUAAAUAUAUCUAGUUUUUUUAGAAAAAAAUUUAAUUUUAAAUUUAUAAUUAAUUUAUUUAUUAAUUGAUUAAUUAAUAAAAUAUUUUAUAAAUUUUAUAUUUUAAGGGAUAAGCUUUAAUUUAAAUAAAUAUAAUAUAAAUAAAUUUGUUUAUGAAAAUUAUAUAAUUUAUAUUGUUAAUAAAUUUUAAUUUAUUAUAAAUAAUUUCAUUUAAAAUAAAAUUUAAUAAAAAAAUUUAUUUUUUUAUAAAAAGGUAAUUUUUAAUAAGUAAAAAUUAGUUAUAAUGAUAAAAUUAGUAUAUUAAUUUAAUAAUAAGAUAAUUUUAUAUUAAAGUAAAUUAAUUAAAAGGAAUUCGGCAAAAUUUUAUAUUCACUUGUUUAACAAAAACAUGUCUUUUUGAAAAUAAUAUAAAGUCUAAUCUGCCCACUGAUUUUUAUAAUUGAAGGGCUGCAGUAUUUUGACUGUACAAAGGUAGCAUAAUCAUUAGUCAUUUAAUUGAUGACUUGUAUGAAGGAUUGGAUGAAAUAUAUACUGUCUCUUAAUUAAAGUAUAGAAUUUAAUUUUUUAAUUAAAAAGUUAAAAUAAAUUAAAAAGACGAGAAGACCCUAUAGAGUUUAAUAAUUAAUUUAAUUUAAUUUAUUUAUAUAAUUAAAAAAUUGAAUUUAUUUUAGUAAUUUUAUUGGGGUGAUAGAAAAAUAAGAAAAACUUUUUUUAAAUAAAAUACAUAUAUAAGUGAAAUUAUGAUCCAGUUAUACUGAUUAUAAGAAAAAAUUACCUUAGGGAUAACAGCGUAAUUUUUUUUUUUAGUUCAAAUAAAAAAAAGAGUUUGCGACCUCGAUGUUGGAUUAAGAUAAAAUUUAAAUGUAGAAGUUUAAAAUUUUGAUCUGUUCGAUCAUUAAAAUCUUACAUGAUCUGAGUUCAAACCGGUGUGAGCCAGGUUGGUUUCUAUCUUUUAAUAAGUUAAAAUAUUUUAGUACGAAAGGAAUAAAUAUUUAAAUUAAAUUUUUAUUAAUGAAUAUUAUUAAUAAAGAAAAAAAUGUUAAUUAGUUUUAUAACUAUUUUGGCAGAAAAGUGU
rnacentral:rRNA from 1 species